CAUGGAGGGUGAGAAUCCCGUCCGGUUGAUCAUUUGCGUUUUACGAUACGCUUUCUAAGAGUCAAGUUGUUUGGGAUUGCAGCUUAAAAUGGGAGGUAAAUUUCUCCUAAGGCUAAAUAACGGCGAGAGACCGAUAGCGAACAAGUACCGUGAGGGAAAGAUGAAAAGAACUUUGAAAAGAGAGUUAAACAGUACGUGAAAUUGUUGAAAGGGAAACGAUUGAAGCCAGUCGUACCUUCGGGUAAUCAGCCUUUUGGGUGUGAUUUUGUGGAGCGUGAAGAGUUAAACGCCUUCAUGCCUGCAUAUUCGUGCACUUUGGGUGUACUUGCCCGUAUGGUUGGUUAACAUCAAUUUUGGUGGUCAUAAAAUGACUGGAGGAAUGUAGCUUCGAUCUUGUAUUGAAGUGUUAUAGCCUUCGGUAGAUGUGAUGAUCGAGAUUGAGGAUUGCAACGGAUACCCUUCGGGGCUACCUGUCUGGUCUCUGAUCGUUGCUCUGGUGCCGAAAGCUUGCUUACGGUUAUCAAAGUCGAUGGUCAAUAGGUUAGAACGGGUUAAAUUCGUUAAGGAUGUUGACGUAAUGG
rnacentral:rRNA from 1 species